UACGGAGGGUGCUAGCGUUGUUCGGAAUUACUGGGCGUAAAGGGUUCGUAGGUGGGAAGAUAAGUCAAGUGUGAAAUCCCUAAGCUCAACUUAGGACGUGCAUUUGAAACUAUUUUUCUUGAGUAUUGGAGAGGGUCGUGGAAUUGCUGGUGUAGGAGUGAAAUCCGUAGAUAUCAGCAGGAAUACCAGAGGCGAAGGCGGCGACCUGGCCAAAUACUGACACUGAGGAACGAAAGCGUGGGGAGCAAACAGG
rnacentral:rRNA from 1 species